UUCCGUCGAAUUUUCAAUUUUAUUUAAAGUUAUCUCAUUUUAUGAAAUAGAAACUCGAGAAAAUCGGCAAUAAACACACAGCUAUAAUUCUUGUAUAUGCUUAACAGUUAUAAUUUGAACCCGUUUUUUAAAUAAAACUCCGAUUCGUGAAUCCUUGGCUUUUCUCACUCGGCUUUAUUCAAGAAAUUUGCCAUUUGUCAACUAAUAUUUCCCCCCGCUAGUUACUGUAGCGACUGAGAUUACUUUGCAUUUAGCAUUGUUGUAUUUUUUAUCUAUUGAAGGAUACGGUAAUACUUUAUAAUAUAAGGGUAAAAUAAAUCAAAAAGUAUUAAAACAAAUUUUUGUCGUAUGACAUUUCUG